rnacentral:rRNA from 1 species
GAUGAACGCUGGCGGCGUGCCUAAUACAUGCAAGUCGAGCGAACGGACGAGAAGCUUGCUUUUCUGAUGUUAGCGGCGGACGGGUGAGUAACACGUGGAUAACCUACCUAUAAGACUGGGAUAACUUCGGGAAACCGGAGCUAAUACCGGAUAAUAUUUUGAACCGCAUGGUUCAAAAGUGAAAGACGGUCUUGCUGUCUCUUAUAGAUGGAUCCGCGCUGCAUUAGCUAGUUGGUAAGGUAACGGCUUACCAAGGCAACGAUGCAUAGCCGACCUGAGAGGGUGAUCGGCCACACUGGAACGGAGACACGGUCCAGACUCCUACGGGAGGCAGCAGUAGGGAAUCUGCCGCAAUGGGCGAAAGCCUGACGGAGCAACGCCGCGUGAGUUAUGAAGGUCUUCGGAUCGUAAAACUCUGUUAUUAGGGAAGAACAUAUGUGUAAGUAACUGUGCACAUCUUGACGGUACCUAAUCAGAAAGCCACGGCUAACUACGUG